rnacentral:rRNA from 1 species
UACGUAGGGUGCAAGCGUUAAUCGGAAUUACUGGGCGUAAAGCGUGCGCAGGCGGUUUUGUAAGUCUGUUGUGAAAUCCCCGGGCUCAACCUGGGAAUGGCAAUGGAGACUGCAAGGCUAGAGUUUGGCAGAGGGGGGUAGAGUUCCACGUGUAGCAGUGAAAUGCGUAGAUAUGUGGAGGAACACCGAUGGCGAAGGCAGCCCCCUGGGUCAAA